GAGCGAACAGAUAAGGAGCUUGCUCCUUUGACGUUAGCGGCGGACGGGUGAGUAACACGUGGAUAACCUACCUAUAAGACUGGGAUAACUUCGGGAAACCGGAGCUAAUACCGGAUAACAUAUUGAACCGCAUGGUUCAAUAGUGAAAGGCGGCUUUGCUGUCACUUAUAGAUGGAUCCGCGCCGUAUUAGCUAGUUGGUAAGGUAACGGCUUACCAAGGCAACGAUACGUAGCCGACCUGAGAGGGUGAUCGGCCACACUGGAACUGAGACACGGUCCAGACUCCUACGGGAGGCAGCAGUAGGGAAUCUUCCGCAAUGGGCGAAAGCCUGACGGAGCAACGCCGCGUGAGUGAUGAAGGUCUUCGGAUCGUAAAACUCUGUUAUCAGGGAAGAACAAAUGUGUAAGUAACUGUGCACAUCUUGACGGUACCUGAUCAGAAAGCCACGGCUAACUACGUGCCAGCAGCCGCGGUAAUACGUAGGUGGCAAGCGUUAUCCGGAAUUAUUGGGCGUAAAGCGCGCGUAGGCGGUUUUUUAAGUCUGAUGUGAAAGCCCACGGCUCAACCGUGGAGGGUCAUUGGAAACUGGAAAACUUGAGUGCAGCAGAGAU
rnacentral:rRNA from 1 species